GCUUCUGUAGCUUAAUUGGUAAAGCAUAUUCAAUGUAAGAAUAUUUGAUAUCGGUUCGACACCGUACCAGAAGCU
rnacentral:tRNA from 1 species